AUUGAACGCUGGCGGCAUGCUUUACACAUGCAAGUCGAACGGCAGCGCGGGCUUCGGCCUGGCGGCGAGUGGCGAACGGGUGAGUAAUACAUCGGAACGUGCCCAGUAGUGGGGGAUAGCUCGGCGAAAGCCGGAUUAAUACCGCAUACGACCUGCGGGUGAAAGCGGGGGAUCUUCGGACCUCGCGCUAUUGGAGCGGCCGAUGGCAGAUUAGCUAGUUGGUGGGGUAAAGGCCUACCAAGGCGACGAUCUGUAGCUGGUCUGAGAGGACGACCAGCCACACGGGGACUGAGACACGGCCAAGGCUCCUACGGUAGGCAGCAGUGGGGAAUGUUGGACAGUGGGCGAAAGCCUGAUCCAGCAAUGCCGCGUGUGUGAUGAAGGCCUUCGGGUUGUAAAGCACUUUUGGCGGGAACGAAAAGGACUGUGCCAAUACCACGGUUCGAUGACGGUACCCGCAGAAUAAGCACCGGCUAACUACGUG
rnacentral:rRNA from 1 species